UACGUAGGGGGCAAGCGUUGUCCGGAUUUAUUGGGCGUAAAGAGCUCGUAGGCGGUUCCGUAAGUCGUGAAGUCAAAUCUCUGGGCUCAACCCAGAAUCGCUUCCGAUACUGCGGUGACUGGAGUCCGGUAGGGGAGUGUGGAAUUCCUGGUGUAGCGGUGAAAUGCGCAGAUAUCAGGAGGAACACCAGUGGCGAAAGCGACUCUCUGGACGGCAACUGACGCUGAGGCACGAAAGCGUGGGGAGCAAACAGG
rnacentral:rRNA from 1 species